UACGUAGGGUGCGAGCGUUAAUCGGAAUUACUGGGCGUAAAGCGUGCGCAGGCGGUGAGCUGUGUCCGAUGUGAAAGCCCCGGGCUUAACCUGGGAAUGGCAUUGGAAACUGGCUCGCUGGAGUGUGGCAGAGGGGGGUGGAAUUCCGCGUGUAGCAGUGAAAUGCGUAGAGAUGUGGAGGAACACCGAUGGCGAAGGCAGCCCCCUGGGCCGACACUGACGCUCAUGCACGAAAGCGUGGGGAGCAAACAGG
rnacentral:rRNA from 1 species